rnacentral:rRNA from 1 species
GAAUUGAUCUGGUCAGAACGAACGCUGGCAGCGUGGAUUAGGCAUAGCAAGUCGAACGGGAUCCGGCCGAUAGCAAUAUUGGCUGGUGAGAGUGGCGGAUUGGGGAGGAACACGUGAGCAACCUGCCCUGGGGUCGGGGAAAACCGUUGGAAACGACGGCGUAAUACCGGAUGGAGCGUCCGAAGGCAUCUUCGGAACGCCAAAGGGGGCCGCAAGGCUCCCGCCCUUGGAGGGGCUCGCGCACCAUCGGGCUCGUUGGCGGGGUAACGGCCCACCAAGGCUCACGGUUAGCUGGUCUGAGAGGAUGACCAGCCCCACUGGGACUGAGAUACUGCCCAGACUCCUACGGGAGGCUGCAGUCGAGGAUCAUUCGCAAUGGGCGAAAGCCUGACGAUGCGACGCUGCGUGGAGGAUGAAGGCCUUCGGGUCGUAAACUCCUGUCAUGGGGGAAGAGGCGAGGCGGGUCAACGCCCCGUUUAGUUGACGGUACCCCAAGAGGAAGGGACGGCUAACUCUGUGCCAGCCGCAGC